rnacentral:rRNA from 1 species
AGUGAACGCUGGCGGUAGGCCUAACACAUGCAAGUCGAACGGCAGCACAGUAAGAGCUUGCUCUUACGGGUGGCGAGUGGCGGACGGGUGAGGAAUACAUCGGAAUCUACUUUUUCGUGGGGGAUAACGUAGGGAAACUUACGCUAAUACCGCAUACGACCUACGGGUGAAAGCAGGGGAUCUUCGGACCUUGCGCGAUUGAAUGAGCCGAUGUCGGAUUAGCUAGUUGGCGGGGGAAAGGCCCACCAAGGCGACGAUCCGUAGCUGGUCUGAGAGGAUGAUCAGCCACACUGGAACUGAGACACGGUCCAGACUCCUACGGGAGGCAGCGGUGGGGAAUAUUGGACAAUGGGCGCAAGCCUGAUCCAGCCAUACCGCGUGAGUGAAGAAGGCCUUCGGGUUGUAAAGCCAUUUUGUUGGGAAAGAAAAGAAGCAGGUUAAUACCCCGCUGUUCUGACGGUACCCAAAGAAUAAGCACCGGCUAACUUCGUG